rnacentral:misc_RNA from 1 species
GGGUAACUUAUAUCUGAAGAAGCCAGACUAGAUUAUGGGUGUUGGGAGUAGAUGUGGUUCAUCUAGAGAAUUAGGUUAUGCAAUUCCUCACCGACAUUACUGAAGUCCUGGUUUGAUUGAUUUCACUUGCUGUUGGAGCAAUGCCUUCAAUUCAAGUCAAAGUACUUUCUGAUAAUUGUUAUAUUCUGUUCAUUUUACAGAAAAAUGGUCUCAAAUCCAAUGUAAGAACGUAAACAGAUGUUUGAAAUCAUAUGCAUUAUUUUGUUAUUAGGAACAAUUCAAGUAAGGUU